UACGGAGGGUGCAAGCGUUAUCCGGAUUCACUGGGUUUAAAGGGUGCGUAGGUGGGCAGGUAAGUCAGUGGUGAAAUCUCCGGGCUUAACCCGGAAACUGCCGUUGAUACUAUCUGUCUUGAAUAUAGUGGAGGUGAGCGGAAUAUGUCAUGUAGCGGUGAAAUGCUUAGAUAUGACAUAGAACACCAAUUGCGAAGGCAGCUCGCUACACAUAUAUUGACUCUGAGGCACGAAAGCGUGGGGAGCGAACAGG
rnacentral:rRNA from 1 species